rnacentral:rRNA from 1 species
CGGUAAUACGUAGGGUGCGAGCGUUAAUCGGAAUUACUGGGCGUAAAGCGUGCGCAGGCGGUGAUGUAAGACAGUUGUGAAAUCCCCGGGCUCAACCUGGGAAUUGCAUCUGUGACUGCAUCGCUAGAGUACGGUAGAGGGGGAUGGAAUUCCGCGUGUAGCAGUGAAAUGCGUAGAUAUGCGGAGGAACACCGAUGGCGAAGGCAAUCCCCUGGACCUGUACUGACGCUCAUGCACGAAAGCGUGGGGAGCAAACAGGAUUAGAUACCCUGGUAGUCCRCGCCCUAAACGAUGUCAACUGGUUGUUGGGUGCAUUAGUACUCAGUAACGAAGCUAACGCGUGAAGUUGACCGCCUGGGGAGUACGGCCGCAAGGUUGAA